GCUAGCGUUGCUCGGAAUCACUGGGCGUAAAGCGCACGUAGGCGGUUUCUUAAGUCAGGGGUGAAAUCCUGGAGCUCAACUCCAGAACUGCCUUUGAUACUGGGAAUCUCGAGUCCGGGAGAGGUGAGUGGAACUGCGAGUGUAGAGGUGAAAUUCGUAGAUAUUCGCAAGAACACCAGUGGCGAAGGCGGCUCACUGGCCCGGUACUGACGCUGAGGUGCGAAAGCGUGGGGAGCAAACAGG
rnacentral:rRNA from 1 species